ensembl:lncRNA
GUGUUCUAAAACUGGCUGAAACAUGUUUUACUUCCUCUGACACAAAGAAAUCGAAGUCUGAAGUUAAAAAAAUUGAGUCUGCAUGCAUUAUGCACUAUGCGAUUUUCUGCAAAAGCUGUCAACUAGCAGCUCAGUAUCUAUCUAUAACUUUCUCUCUGGCUCUGACGCAAUUAGUGUCAAAGCAUAAUGGCUUCAAGUCAAGGCAAAAGUCAAGCAUUCCAGGAUAGAGUGGAUUAAAGCACAUGGAUACUGGACUCUGGAGCAGUGGAAACCUGUUCUGGGAAGUGAUGAAUCAAGCUUCACUGUUUGGCAGACAGAUGGGCAGGUCUGGGUUUGGUGGAUGCCAGAAGAACGUUACCUGCCUGACUGCAUUGUGCCAGCUGUAAAGUUUGAUGGAGAAGGGAUAAUGGUAACUGCACAGGCAACCUGCAAAACUUUGUCUGCAAUGAGUGUGGAUGGUUUUUACUUGACCGUCUAUUCACUACAGUCCCUCCGAACACCACAGAUGGCUCUGUCUGUAUGCACCACUAUUUGAAUAUAAACACAAGAACAAGCGAGCCUCUCC